rnacentral:tRNA from 1 species
GGAGAGGUAGCUCAGUUGGGAGAGCAGUAGCAUAGUAAAAACGCAUCAUGUUUGUGUGUGCUAACAGCUAUUUACUGAUAUGGGAAGCCACGUGUCCGAGGUUCGAGUCCUCGUCUCUCCA